GAUGAACGCUGGCGGCGUGCCUAAUACAUGCAAGUCGAGCGAACACACGAGGAGCUUUUUCCCCUGCGGGUGGCGACCGACGGGAGAGUGACACGUGGAUCAGAAACCUCUCCUACUGGGAGGAUUACGGAAAACCAGAUCUACUACCGGAUAAUAUAUUGAACCGCUUGGGUCACUAGUGAUAGAGGGAUGUGCUGUCAGUUAUGGACGGAUCCGCGUUGCAUUAUCUGGUUGGUAAGGUAACGGCCUACCAACGCACCGAUGCAUAGCUGGUCUGAGAGAAUGGUCAGCCACACUGGGACUGAGACACAGCCCGGACUCCUACGGGAGGCAGCAGUGGGGGAUAUUGGACAAUGGGCGGAAGCCUGAUCCAGCAAUGCCGCGUGAGUGAUGAAGGCCUUAAGGUUGUAAAGCUCUUUUACCCGGGAUGAUAAUGACAGUACCGGGAGAAUAAGCUCCGGCUAACUCCGUG
rnacentral:rRNA from 1 species